UAACACGUAGGGGGCGAGCGUUGUCCGGAUUUAUUGGGCGUAAAGAGCUCGUAGGCGGUUUGGCAAGUCGGGUGUGAAAUUUCGAGGCUCAACCUCGAAACGCCACUCGAUACUGCCAUGACUGGAGUCCGGUAGAGGAGUGCGGAAUUCCUGGUGUAGCGGUGAAAUGCGCAGAUAUCAGGAGGAACACCAACGGCGAAGGCAGCACUCUGGGCCGGUACUGACGCUGAGGAGCGAAAGCGUGGGGAGCAAACAGGAUUAGAUACCCUGGUAGUCCACGCCGUAAACGUUGGGCACUAGGUGUGGGGGGCUGUCAACGCCCUCCGUGCCGUAGCUAACGCAUUAAGUGCCCCGCCUGGGGAGUACGGCCGCAAGGCUAAAACUCAAAUGAAUUGACGG
rnacentral:rRNA from 1 species